AAAAGAAUGACGUGCCUUUCCUUCAAUUCUGCGUAACAAAAGCAAGAAACCCUAGACGGACGAGGGGUAAAAGGAAAAAUUAAAGCAGCCGCCUUAUCUCCUCGCUCGCUCCCUCCUCUCUCCCACGCCGCCCCAUCCCUCUCCCUGCUCGUCCCCUCAUCUCCUCUUUCCUCGAUGCCGGAUCCCCUGCCUCUCCGACCUAGGCCAGAGCCUCGCCGGCAGCUCCCCCAAGUCGGCGCCCGCUAGCUGCUGGUGUGGAGCCGAGCUUCUCUGACGGCGACGGCGACGGCGACAAGCUUGUCCAGGUCGUCAUGGCCGGCGACGACGAACGGGAGGGCGGAGGUGUUUCCAUGGCCACCUUUGCCGAGAGCUCGCACAUCUUCAACCCUCAGCCAUGUUAGUUUUGGGGUGGCUAUUUUUUGGAUCCGCUGCUGCCGUGCGCCGUGCGUCUGGAUCAGGCGCAGGUCGCCGCCAUAGGAGAGCAGGGUGGCGUGGUCUUUGUGGUGGGCAUGGAGCAAGGGAGGAUGAGGCGCUGGUAUGAGGAAAGGAGCAGGAAGGUCGGAGUUCCAGGCGGUGCUGGCCGUCGUCACAUGUCCCCAGUCUAGAUCUAAGAAAAAAGAGAAGGGGAUGAAUCUGGAGGAAGAGCUUGGUGAAGAACAAGGUGUUCGUAAUGGCAACGGUGGUAAUCAACGAUGAGAAAAAAGGACCGAGAUUGUAUUUGUACUAGCAGGUGAUGCCUUAAUUUAGUUCAUGGCAUUAUGGCGGGACGCAUGUGGUAAAUGGUUACAAUGGUGGCUCAUGGAGUUAAAAUUUUGUGUUCUGUACAGAUUUGAGAUGAUAGAAAUUCAAAAUAGAUCAUGACCACAGCUUGCGGAGUUUCAAAAUCUAAUAUCUCUAAUUUCCGCAUCAAGCUAAGUGGUCCCGUUGUUUAGCAUGUAGGCACUUUCUAUUUGUUGCUUCAAUGUAAUGUUUAAGGUUGUUGCUUUAACAAUGUUUGAUCUAGAUUAUCAGUAAAACACACUCACAAUUAGGUGUUCUUCCUUGGUUAGCUGCUUGCAUUUCUUAUGUUUGAUUGGUUCAAGCCAGUAUGACUCUUUUUCUUUGCCUUUCACAGGGGUCCUUUGCUACUGUUGGUUGUGUCCUUGCUUCUUGGAGAGGAGGGAGGGCAAAUGACUUUGAUGCCAGAAAUAGGGGAGGAACAUAAGGUCAAGUAUCCAUGUUGUUUGGUACCUUAUAGAAGAUGCAUUACGCAAUGGUCUCGGCAACUGCAACGAGAUUUCACAGUCACGAUUUUUCCAUAUUGGUAUGGAUUCUAAAACCUUAUAGGAAAAUGCCAUCUUUCACAAAAUGAAACUAUGCCUACAGAGCUGCUGAGGGAUGCCCUGUAGUGGACUGGCUGAGACUGUCGAGCAUCAGGUUGCAAAUCUCCAGAGGUACAAGGGGCUCAUUGGUAGCCUGGCCUGCUUUUGGUAUAUCAAUGAGGACAUCCCUGACGUAAAUUCGUUUCGUGACAGUGGGUGAUUGAGAAAGGAGCCCAAGCAGAAGGCAGAACACAGAUGGAGCAGUUGACUUGUUCUUGUUCAUUUCCCUUUCCGCAACGAAUAGAAUCCAAUUAAUUAAUUUGGGUGUAUGCUGAUUGAGAUAGUUAAUCAAUUGGGUAUGUAGACCAUGGUGUUGGUAGGCUUACAGCAUGGGGUGGCCACAUCCAGCGAGGGUGGCGUUCUGUGGAUUUGGCGCCCCCCAUCCCAGCAGCACGUGGGAGCCGGUGUCUUCGGGAAGAGCUGGGUCUCCUUGCCGGCGACCUCACCAUCUUGCCAGCGACUUCACCUUCACCAGCCCAUCUACAGUUGCUUGAGCUGAAGCAUUGAGAUGGUGAAACAUUAACUAUUGCUGAUUCUAAACUUGGAAAUGCUAUAAAAGAGAAGUUGAAAAUUGGCUGCGUUCACAAUAGUGAUGUGAUGGAGCUAAUGAGAGGGCUCAUAAAUCAGCUUAGUGAGCUUAUAUCUUGGUUGGGCACACAGGACCUUGGUCCGAGGAGCUUGGGACUUUCCCACAACUUGUCUAGAUACAAGCUGAAAUUCAGUCCUAAAAAGGUGAGUCAAUACUGUGAUUAGUUCACUUGGCUGAACCAUGUUAGUACAGAGCUAAAUAUCCAUAGAAAACAUGCAAAGUUUCUGAUAGAUCUUAUUCAGAUGUUGUAAACGACGUCAACUAGAUGCUUUUUGUCGAUAUUGCAUUAUUACCAAAUAAAACAAAUAAAAUAAUGUGGCUUUGUGGUUUGAGACUGAUACUGAUACUUCAUAUUAGUUGCUAAAAAUAUGUGCUUCAGUAUUUGACUACUUGUGCGAGGGUGCACAUGUAAGCCGUGAUGGGUUUCUAGAGUAGGUUAUGUCUCCAUUAUGAAAUUUUCCAUACCAUGCAAUAACCUGCUAAAAAUGGAUAUUCUCAAAUAGUACUAAGAAAAUAGUAUUGUUUCUAUUUAUUUUAAUAUGAGCGCCUCUAUUUAGAGGAUUCUAUGUCUAAUUAUUCAAAGUUCUAAUAUAUGAAGAUAUAUGCUCAUCUUUAUUUUGUUUGAUGCAUUUCUCAUUGAGAAACUGGAAUAUGAAACUAUUAUUAUCUAUCAGGUGAGGAAUUCAUGGGCUUGUAACAUGGAAAAAUAAUUGUAAGUGUAGUUUCAGGUAAGAACAUGCCGAAUAUAACAGCCGAAGAAGGAAGGGACAUGAGGCUGUAAUGUCUUUUUUAUUCCCAUUCCUUUCAGGAAGUCACAGCUAGGAGUGGUGGGUGGACAUAUAACUGUCUGUUAGCCCUUUUAUGUGUUUCUGAAUGAAGUGGGAACUAAUGCUAGAUUCUUUUCCUGAUACAUAAUUAAUAUGUACACUUACCACACUAUCGUGAUCACAAAUGUUUACAACUGUCUGAAUCGUGUGAUUGCAAAGUAGAACCCACAUGAUUGAUACUGACGAUGUAAUGUGUUAUCAGCAGUAUAUCUCAAUUUUGAAUGUGACAUGUACUGUAUGUAUAUGCAAAAAUUGAGCUUUUUGUCAACCUCUAUGUUGCCUGAGUUUCCAACUUUUUUGCUUGCUCCGAUCCUUCAUUGUGCUUGUUAGCAAUACUACACUUUGUUAUUUUCACAAGGAGUGUAGUUCCAUGAAACGUGAAAUUUUAUUAUGUUAGGUGUACAUUUUACCUAUGGCACUAACCUCUUUUAUUUGUCUAUGUAAUGACCAUAUGCAUAAAUAGUCGAAAAUGGUGUUUGAAUACUUCAUUUUUAGUUGAUUCUUACUAUGCACCUGAAUGGUUUCUAAAAUUUGAAAUUAUUAAAGAAACACAAUUUGUUUCAAAACACAUUGGAUUUGAAUUUGGACCUUGCGCCACUUGGCUCUAGCUAUGUUACAUGAAUAAGAUAACAAAAUAUGCAUGCUCAAGUAUACAUUUUCAAAGAUCCUUCAUUUUUCAUCUUAAAGGGUUUGAAGUAGUACCCUAAGUGGUUGCUAAAACCUACUUCUACUAAUGAAGUCAAAUUAUUUCAAAACACUUCGGGUUUGACAUGGUCUUUGGGCUUGCUCACACAUGAAGUUAUUGAAAAAAUGAGAUUUCCUUGAUAUAUGGUUCUACAAGUGUGUCAUAUGGACCAAUGAAAGCAAAGAUAUUCCGGAGAUAAUAACUAUAUGGGCUACUCCAAAUGGUCUGAGAGUGGAACCAACACCUUUUAUAGGCCUUCAAGUACCUGUGUGGAAGUCUACCAUGCAAGCAUUAUCCGACGACUGGCACUCUGCUUUUUCGUACAUAUCCUCUGAAGACCAUGAUCAGACUAAGAAGAUGCCUAAAUAUGCUGUGAGGCUGCCUAUAUAUAAGUGUAUUUCUGUAAAUUGAUAUCAGUCAUUCUACUAUCUGUAAACCAAUUUAAGUCAUUCUACUAUCUGCAAUACAAUCCCCAUUACAUUA